CAAAGGAAUUGACGGGGCCGCACAAGCGGUGAGCAUGUGGUUAAUCGACGCAACGCGAAGAACCUUACCUGGGCUUGACAUCCCGAUCGCACCUUAUGGAAACAUAGGGGUCAGUUCGGCUGGAUCGGUGACAGGUGCUGCAUGGCUGUCGUCAGCUCGUGUCGUGAGAUGUUGGGUUAAGUCCCGCAACGAGCGCAACCCUUGUCCUUAGUUGCCAGCAUUCAGUUGGGCACUCUAAGGAGACUGCCGGUGUCAAACCGGAGGAAGGUGGGGAUGACGUCAAGUCCUCAUGGCCCUUAUGUCCAGGGCUACACACGUGCUACAAUGGCCGGUACAAAGGGGCGCAAGACCGCGAGGUGGAGCAAAUCCCAAAAAACCGGUCUCAGUUCGGAUUGGAGUCUGCAACUCGACUCCAUGAAGUUGGAAUCGCUAGUAAUCGCGUAUCAGCAUGACCGCGGUCCGAAUACGUUCCGGCCUU
rnacentral:rRNA from 1 species